UGUGCUCAAACUGGUAGUCAACCCAACCUUUUCAACUGGUGCAGUAUGGAGCAUAGCAUGUCGACGACUUUCCUCUUGUUGAACAUGGGCAUGGGCCUCUUCUAAAGAAGGAAAAGGAUUUCUUCCCAACACUUGGACCCGAAUUGGAUCAUAUUCGUUAUUCAACCCUGCAAGAAAAUCAUAGACCCGCUCCUUUUCAAUCAUUUUUCGAAAUUUGACUGCAUCUCCAGUGCAAUCUGCCUGGAAGUCUUGAUAGUAAUCAAGCUCCUGCCAUAAGCCACAUAACUCAGAAUAAAAUUGAGAGAUAGUCAUUUCUCCUUGCUUAGUACCAUGAAUCUUAUUCCGAAUAUCAUAAAUUUGGGCAUCAUUCCCAAUCUUGGAAUAAGUUAAGGACAAAGCUUUCCAUAUCUUUGCAACAGUAUCAAUUAACAAAUAGGACUUAGAGAUAUGAGGUUGCAUAGAGUUCAGUAACCAUGUCAUAACAAGACAAUUAUCCGAGUCCCAUUGAGGGAAAUCUGGAUCACUCUCAUCAGGUUGCUUUUUAUUACCAGUGACAUAACCCUGCAAUCCUCUAGCCUUGAUAAACAACAAACAAAACCUUGACCAAGCAAGAUAAUUGGUUCCAUCAAGUUUUAUAGGACUAAUUUGCAAGGAAGGAUUAUCAGAGUUAGGAAUCGAGACCCUUUUACCUUCUGCCAUAGUAAAGAAUAGGAGGUACCCAAGGUUGUACACACAAGAAAGCUCAAUUGAUUCACCAAAAGACCGGGUAACAGCACGGGAGAGCCGGAAAGAUGGUCGGAAUCGUCGCCGGGGUGAUCUGAGCGGCGAAACAGUGACAGACGAUGGAUCACGCGCCGGGAAGCGACGGGUCAAGCGCCGGGAAGGGGUGGCGCGUGAGCCUCACGCGCAGGCUUUUCCGACGUCGGAGCUGGUCGAUCGGCCGGCGGCAGUCCGGCGGUUCUCCUAGUGCCGACGGUGAGAGAAAAAGAGGCUCCU
rnacentral:lncRNA from 1 species